CACACAUCUUUUGUGCCCUCUCUACAUCUUCUGGGUCCAGCUGCAGCCUCUGCACUGGGGAUGGAUGAUACAAAGGUGUAUCAGAGAAUGUAUUCAGCAGCUGUCUGGGUGCAGCAAUACAUACUGUUCAUUAAUGCCCCUAACUAUAUCCUUCCCAAAAAAUCCCUGUCUGCUUUCAGAAGGAAAAACCUAGGUACAAAUCAGAGCUGGCAUCACCAGAUCAUCUGAGAGCUGCUGUCAUGUUUGUCAAACUUCUGCUGUUUAAUAGUGGGGAAAACAGAUCUUCUAAGAGUAGCUCUCUUUCAUUCUGGAGCCCAAAUUACGGAAGCAAUCUUCAUAAAGGCCACUUCCCCAGCUAUAGCGCCUGCUGUGAUAUGAUUCAUGCCUUUUGUCUUCUGCUUGGAAUUUGGGGAUGUUUAUGAAAGACUGUUAUAAAUACUGCAUCUAAUUCUUCUUUUCACAAGAUGCUUUAUUCACAAGGAAAAAAAAAAAAGAAAAUUGCAUCACAUAUGUACGUCAUAUCAUUUCCAUUCCCAUUGCCAUCU